rnacentral:rRNA from 1 species
GGAGCCGAAGAAGGACGUGACAAACGACGAAAUGCCUCGUGGAGCUGUAAGUAAGCGACGAUCCUGGAUGUCCGAAUGGGGGAACCCAACAGGUUGAUGCCUGUUACCCAUUUCUGUUAAGGAAAUGAGGAGGAAGACGCAGUGAACUGAAACAUCUAAGUAGCUGCAGGAAGAGAAAGCAAAAGCGAUUGCCUUAGUAGCGGCGAGCGAAGAGGCAGGAGGGCAAACCGAAGAGUUUACUCUUCGGGGUUGUAGGACUGCAAUGUGGACUCAAAGAUUAUAGAAGAAUGAUUUGGGAAGAUCAGCCAAAGAGAGUAAUAGCCUCGUAUUUAAAAUAGUCUUUGUACCUAGCAGUAUCCUGAGUACGGCGGGACACGAGAAAUCCCGUCGGAAUCUGGGAGGACCAUCUCCCAACCCUAAAUACUCCCUAGUGACCGAUAGUGAACCAGUACCGUGAGGGAAAGGUGAAAAGCACCCCGGGAGGGGAGUGAAAUAGAACCUGAAACCGUGUGCCUACAACAAGUUCGAGCCCGUUAAUGGGUGAGAGCGUGCCUUUUGUAGAAUGAACCGGCGAGUUACGUUAUGAUGCGAGGUUAAGUU